rnacentral:rRNA from 1 species
GACGAACGCUGGCGGCGUGCUUAACACAUGCAAGUCGAACGGAAAGGCCCUGCUUUUGUGGGGUGCUCGAGUGGCGAACGGGUGAGUAACACGUGAGUAACCUGCCCUUGACUUUGGGAUAACUUCAGGGAACUGGGGCUAAUACCGGAUAGGAGCUCCUGCUGCAUGGUGGGGGUUGGAAAGUUUCGGCGGUUGGGGAUGGACUCGCGGCUUAUCAGCUUGUUGGUGGGGUAGUGGCUUACCAAGGCUUUGACGGGUAGCCGGCCUGAGAGGGUGACCGGCCACCUUGGGACUGAGAUACGGCCCAGACUCCUACGGUAGGCAGCAGGGGGGAAUAUUGCACAAUGGGCGGAAGCCUGAUGCAGCAACGUCGCGUGCGGGAUGACGGCCUUCGGGUUGUAAACCGCUUUCGCCUGUGACGAAGCGUGAGUGACGGUAAUGGGUAAAGAAGCACCGGCUAACUACGUG